rnacentral:misc_RNA from 1 species
GUUGCUGACGCUAAAAUCUCGCGCGGUCUAUCAAACUAAGUGAUAAACGUCAAAAAUCAUGUGUUCGACUGAACACUCUAUUGAUGCUUCAUGAAUUACUCAACCAAGGUUCUGAAAAUAAUCAGGAUGAUAUUUUCACGCUGACUUCUUAUAACUAAUGUCACUCAAAUAUGAGUGUAAUAUGAUAAGUCUGUGACAGUAAACAAACAACCCGUGUGAGAGUCAUGGCUGGACAUGUCAUACAACCUCUAUCCCCGGGAGUGAGGUCUUACCUGAGGACAGGUGUGGCUCUCUGUAGUGUCGCCCAGUGUAUGGAGGAGCUUGUCCUAAACUCUGUUGAUGCUGGUGCUACAUGUGUAGCUGUCCGCAUUGAUCUAUCCUGCUUCAAAAUCCAGGUGGUUGACAACGGAACAGGAAUGACCAAGGGUCAGCUGGAACUUGUAGGCCAAAGGUACCACACUAGUAAGUGCCACACAAUGGAUGACCUCAAUCAGCUCUGCCACUACGGGUACCGGGGAGAGGCUAUUGCCAGUCUGAGGGAUGCUAGCUCAGUAUUAGAGAUAACAUCACGUACAAAACAUUUAACACAGACGUUUUGUAAGAUCUUCAACAAAGCAACACCAACGAAGGUGAUGCCGUCAAGCGUGCCAAGACCAAGCGCCGGCACAACAGUCACGGUGCAUGAUGUAUUUUACAACAUGCCUGUAAGGAAGAAAGCCAUGAAUCCAGUGCUGGAGUUUGAGAGAGUGAGAAAAAGACUUGAGGGUAUAGCACUGAUGAGGCCUGCAAUUUCAUUUUCCCUAAGAAACGAUAUCACAGGAAACCUUGUACUUCAGACACAUAAAACCAAUGGUGUGUUGAAUGUGUUCACCUCUCUAUUUGGUAUAGGAAGGUCCAAGACAUUGUCGCCUGUUCAAGGACAAUCUGGCUGCUUUAGUGUGGAAGGAUACAUAGGAAAGGAAGGCUUUUCAAAGAAGGACUUACAGUUUGUGUACAUAAAUAAACGUUUAGUGCUGAAGACCAAAAUUCACAAGGUCAUCAACUGUAUACUUGGUAAGUCACUGAUACUGAGGAAGAAGGGUGUAGGUGACAGACAGGGAGAAGGUAAACAACAAGAAAGUGUGCUGUCUGUAACUUCAAGUCCAACAAAAUAUUCAGAGAAGUUUGGAGUGUUUGUGGUGAACGUUUCAUGUCCAUAUACAGAGUAUGAUGUAACCUUUGACCCUGCAAAAACACUAGUGGAGUUCAAGGACUGGGACACACUCUGUACCUGUAUUGGAGGAGUUGUAUCUGAAUUCUUAAAAAGGGAAUGCCUUUUACUAGGAAUCCAGGAUAUGAUGGCAGAGGAGAGAGCAACUUCAAGUGAGAACAACAAGUCGGGUGACUCUGCAGAGAUUUCCUCUGACGGAGAGCAGACUUCAACCUCUGGGGACUCUACUAAACCUGUUACAGAACAGAUAAGUACAAGCAGCAACAGAAACUUCCUUACUUCAAAGCUGGUCAAGCGACAAGCUAAAAAUGUCAGUGACCAAACUGAGGUUUGUGAAGAUGAGAAUGUAAUCGAGACGUAUAAGGGAUUAGAUGCCACAGAGGAUCAAGAAAAAGCGACUGACAUAGAAAGUUUAGAAAAGAUUUACGACAACAAACUUGUUCAAAAUAAAGAAAGUGAUAAAAAUCUGGAAUGUGGAGUUGAGGAAGCGAUGAAGAGUACAUCACAAAAUGUGAGUAGUAGUGAUGAUGCCACUGAAUCUAUAACAGACCACACAGUCUUAUCUUCUACAAACAGCUCCAAUGUCAAAGGCAGAGAAACGCAAUGGGACAGAAAGGGGUCCGACAGUGAUGACAGAGAUCAUGAAGUAAAUGACAAAUUUGAUGAAGAUGAGGAUUAUGAAAGUGAAGAUCCUGUUCCCAAAUUUGAAUGGAAUUUUAGGAGAAAAGGGAAAGAAUUCACAAACGCAGUUGAGAAACAGCGUACAAUAAUUAGACUUGAAACACCACAUUUAGGUUGUAACGGUGGUUCUACACUUUCUCUCAUCAGAAAACGUCACAGCUCUAGCAAUGAGAAGGUGAGAGGCAAAAGUUCAAAUCCUGAGAAGAUUUCUUGUUUCAAAUCCAUGAAGAAAAAACUGCACUGUGACAAAACAUCUGACAAUGAAGUUAAAAGGUCAGAUUAUCGGUACCAGUCUGAGAUAAGACAGCAUAGCCAAAAGAUUGACUCGACCAAAACUUCAGAAUUGUCCCUAAGUGACACCUUUGAUGCAAGUAAAACAACUGAAGUUCUCUCUCAUAGAAAACUGACAGAACAAAAUAAUGAGGAAUUUAGUUCUUCCUCAUCAAACAGAAAUGGAGCAGAUGAAAUAAGGCGUGGGGGAACUUUAUCGCAAGAAGGACAUGUAUUCAAACUCAGCCAUCCUCAAAAAAGGAUCUCAGAGCUUGAGGAGUCUUCCGUGGCAGCCAAGCUGGCCCGGUUGACAAGGUCACGACGGCAGAAAUCAAAUGAUGUCACAGGCCAAGUUUUUGGAAUUCAAAUGGAAGAAGAAUUUCCUGUAUCCUCACCUGAAGAUACCAGGUCUGAAACAUAUUGUACUAGAUCAGUUUCUGUAUCAGAAUGUCAACAGGAGAUGGUUACUUCAAAGGAAAAUAAAUCAGGAAAUGGAUGUGAUUCGUUUGAAACUUCUUAUUCAGUUUUGUUUUCUGAUAGAGCUCCUAACAGUAGGAGCUUGAAAGGUGGAGAUAGUAACAUCAAUAAUUCAUCAGAUUCUACAAGAAAAAUGGUUGACUCUCCAACUGCUCCAAAGAAGUUUCUAACAACUGCAUCUUUUGUGCAGACAUAUGAUGAUGUAUUUCAGAAUCAUAAACCCUCUAAAAAAAACGUUACUAUGGUGGAUACCAGUAAUUCUAAUGAUUUUAGAAGUGAUACAUUCAAAUUGGGAUGUUAUACAGAAUUUGGAACACUUGAAAACAAACAGAUGAAAUCUAACCAAGGAUUUAAGCCACUAAAAACCAAUUCAACAGUGGACCACAGCCAAAUAUUAUUUGACAAAAAGACAGAGAUGGUUACUUUUCAUGGCGGUACAGAAGACAUGAGUGAUAUAGGUUCGAACACACAAGCUAGCUUCUGCAUUAAUGAUGAAGGGGCACACUUUCCAAGUAUUUCUUCUGAGUCAGAGGCAGACAUUGUGCAAGACAUAGUGUUGUUUGAAGGGACCCCAAAAUCUAUCGAUAAGCUGGACAUAGACCAAGGGGAUGUCCAUACUGAGGAUUCUAACACAGAUCUAUUGUGUUAUGAAGAAUUUGAUUAUGCUCCGACACCUGUAAGUAAGGAGAAAUCUUAUCACAGAAAUACUCAGCAAAGUUCCCAGACUUCUGAUAACUCUUUGCGUUGUCAGCAGAAUCAAACUUUUCCUGACCCAGUGGUACCUCGGGAUUACCAGGGCCAUGACAUCCAGUCAACACUGCAGCAGGAGGGGCAAAUAUACAACAUUAACACUUCCCUGUCACACAGGGAUGGUGAGGGUUACAGUGAACUUACCACACAGACCUCAGAGGGUUUUGUUCCCGGCUUGUCCAGUCUAGAAACUUGUCCCAGCAGUAAAGGCCUGGCUACACAGGGAUCAGAUACCACUCAGUCUCAAGGCUUUGUUCCUAUAUCUGAUUUAUCAGCUGUGAUCGAUAAACAGGUGCUUAUGGAAUCACUACAGGAAUCACAAGGAUUUGUACCAGUACCUGCUUUCACAGAAGAGCGUGUAAUAUCACCAGCCGUGUCUGAAGGGUUUUCCCCUGUUAUGAUGGAUGAUGAUAUGAACGUGAAAUUAAAUAGUGAUACCAGUAAUCCAAGCGGCAAUAAACGCCUCUGUAAUGACUCUAACGUCAAUAGCACAGUAAUCUCCACAACCCAAGGUAGUGAAACCCUGGCAGAAUAUCUAGACUCCUACUCUUCCUCUAUAGCUGAAUUGUAUGAAGAAGACAUGAGCUAUGUAAAGAAAAAGAAGAGGUCAAAGAGCUGUAGGUUACCUUACAACAGGUUCACCACUGUGGAGAGUUCAGAACAGUCCGAAUCUUCUGUAAGGGAUGUGGCUCAGGACAGUAGCUUAUCUUUAGAUAUCUCUACUAUAAGGUCUCAGAGUCUGAGUAACUUGUCUGAAGACUCCUUUCCCACUCAACUUACCAAUGAUUUAUUCAAAACUCAAGCUCGGUUCAGGACAGACUUUGAAUCUUCUGUGUCUCAGAUUUCUGUAGACCCAAGCAUUUUAACACAGGGUCAUGAUCAUUGCCAGCAGAUUGACAGUGAUAAAGGUACAGAUUCUGUAGGAAAUGAUGGAGAGAAGGGUUCAGGUUCAGAAGGAAAUGGGGGAGAGAAGGGCACACGUUUGGAAGAAAGCGAUUUUGAUGAAGUGUCUAGUGAAUUUACUGUAAAGAACUUUACUCACAAAACAAAUUUAGAUUCACUGUCUUGCAAUGAAAGCAUGGAGCGUAUUGAAAACUUGGACUGUGGACAACAAAGCCACAGCCAUAUUGAUCUGACCAACGUCUCAGGUGUAAAUCGUUUUUCAUUGUCACAUGAAAAGGCAAGGUGUGUCCAGUGUGAGUCCAUCGCAAUGCAGGAGAGUUCUUGUGCCUCGACACAAACAGCUGUUGUCGCUGACAAACCUCGCAAGGGAACACAUUAUGAAGGGGAGACAACUAUGUUUAAUUCUAUUACAGAGGGUAUGUGCAAUAAACUAGACGAUGGUAACUGUCAGGUGAGUUAUUCAGGGACAGAGUCAUUUCAAAAUUGCCCUGAUAGAAUUCAAGAUGCCAACAAAAGGAUUUCAUAUUCUUCUCAGUUUGUGGGCAACAUAGCUGAUCAAAGUAAUAGCGUCCCUGAAAAUACAAGCGAUGAGCAUUUUGGAUACAGCUCUUCUGACAGAUCAGAAGAGCAGUUCAAUGUUGAGGGACUUAGUUCAAAGCAACUAAAAGUGUUUAGAGAGUCCAACAGGAAAGGUAAAUUACCAAAGAACUUUUUAGAUAUUUGUGAUAUAAGUCAAGUGAACAAAACAGAUAUCUCAGCAAAGCCUGAUAGGUCGACUGACACCCCUACUCAUCAGUGGUCAGAUGAUGAUGAUGAUUUAGUGGCAGUCGUAAAAAGUGUCCAGUCUCAUGGUCAGCAGUCAGAGGAUGUGUGCACCAACAAGACCGCCACUACAGCAGACAACCAUUCUAAUCGUGAGCAACCAUGGAUGGAAAUAGAAGAUCCCAAAACAGGUGAGAAGUUGUAUGUGAACUGUCUGACAGGCCACACCCGGCCUCGGGAUGGUAGCUGGGAACCACCUCCUCUAGAUAAGAAGACGACUAGCCCUAGUUUAACAACACCUUCAGGGAAGAAUGCUAUGUUAGGUGACCUUUCACCUCAGUCCCAUAAUACCCUGCUCCACAUCAUGUCUGACCAUUUAGAAACCUUGGACAAAGAGGAGGAGGACCUGUUGUCUGUCAAGUGGGCAGGUACAAGAUGUAGUUCUGAAAGGAAAGAAGACAGCCAGACAACAGAUGUAAUGAAUACAAGAUGUGUGGAGGAUCUACUUGAGGACUGGGACAACCCUGUGUUCUCAAGACCAGAACAGGCGAUAGCCACAGCUGUGGAGGUCAGUGGGAGGUCGCGAGGUACAGCCAGGGUUAAUAGUGUCCUUCACUCUCACAAGUUCACCAAGGACAUGCUACAGGAUGUAAAGGUGGUGGGACAGGUAGACAACAAGUUCAUCGCCUGUAUGACCAGUUCCAGGACAAACAACAUGGCAGCAGAUCCAAAUCUGAUGUUGCUUUUUGACCAGCAUGCUGCUCAUGAGCGUGUUCGCCUAGAAAGACUUACCAAAGAGGCUUAUGAGGGAGACAACAGGAUUAGCCGCUCAAUCGUUACACCUGCCCAACAUUUGACACUAGAGCAGGAUGAAGUGCGAGUGAUGGUGUCGUACAAAGCGGAAUUCUCCAGGAUAGGUGUUGACUUUAGUGAAGACAAGCAGGAAAGGGACUCCAUCUAUGUACACACUAUCCCAGCAUGCAUCAUGCAGAAAGAAGUUAAUGAGGUUAAGCGGAAGAGGGAUUCCAUUGCAUGGAAUGUGGUUCUGAAUCUGUUAAAGGAACAUGUAGAGUUGUUGAUAGGCACCAGUGGUGUCCUUGGACGAUUACCAGCUACAAUACAUAAAGUAUUGUGUUCCCAGGCGUGUCAUGGUGCUAUAAAGUUUGGUGACCAGCUGUCUGUGGACGAGUGUGAGGAACUCCUCAGCUCCCUGGCCCAGUGUGACCUCCCGUUCCAAUGUGCCCACGGCCGGCCCUCAAUCAUGCCUCUCCUUGAGAUGGACAAACUGCAGCCAGGACAUACAACAACGAAACCUAACCUAUGGAAAAUUUCAAAGCAUCUUCAAAAAAUCUGAAAACAGACAGUGCUAACUUGAUGCUGAUCAUACGAAUUGUUUUUUCUUGUUCAAUAUAGGCUGGACCACUAUGUGAUUUGUGAUAUUUCUAUGAAAUUCUCAUUGCUGUGCUACAACAUGUGAUUGUGAAGUAAUAAAUAACAAGAGACUGGUGUGCUACAUGUGGUAGUUCUAGGUGACAGUAUACGCCUAGAAAAAAGCUCUAUAUGUGGUAGUUCUAGGUGACAGUAUACGCCUAGAAAAAAGCUCUAUAUGUGGUAGUUCUAGGUGACAGUACAGGCCUAGACUGAGGCUUUACGUAUGGUAGUUCUAGGUGACAGUACAGGCCUAAACUGAGGCUUUAGGUAUGGUAGUUCUAGGUGACAGUACAGGCCUAGACUGAGGCUUUACGUAUGGUAGUUCUAGAUGAAAAUACAGGUCUAGACUGAGGCUUUACAUAUGGUAGCUCUAGGUGACAGUACAGGCCUAGACUGAGGUUUACGUAUGGUAGUUCUAGGUGACAAUACAGGCCUAGACUGAGCCUUUACGUAUGGUAGUUCUAGGUGACAAUACAGGCCUAGACUGAGCCUUUACGUAUGGUAGUUCUAGGUGACAGUCCAGGCCUAGACUGA